rnacentral:ncRNA from 1 species
UCGUUAUCAAGAAAGGUGGAGGGACUAGACCCAUUGAAGCCUUGGCAACCCUUUUCUCAUAAAGAAGGUGCUACAUUCUAUCCCAAUUUUGUUGGGGCAGAUAACAA